rnacentral:rRNA from 1 species
CACGUAGUUAGCCGGUGCUUAUUCUUUAGGUACCGUCAGCAGAAACGGGUAUUAACCGCUCCUUUUUCUUCCCUAACAAAAGUCCUUUACAACCCGAAGGCCUUCUUCAGACACGCGGCAUGGCUGGAUCAGGCUUGCGCCCAUUGUCCAAAAUUCCCCACUGCUGCCUCCCGUAGGAGUCCGGGCCGUGUCUCAGUCCCAGUGUGGCGGAUCAUCCUCUCAGACCCGCUACUGAUCGUCGCCUUGGUAGGCCUUUACCCCACCAACUAGCUAAUCAGAUAUUGGCCGCUCGAAUAACGCAAGGCCCGAAGGUCCCCUGCUUUCCUCCUCAGAGCGUAUGCGGUAUUAGCCAAUCUUUCGAUUGGUUAUCCCCCAUUACCCGGUACGUUCCAAUAUAUUACUCACCCGUUCGCCACUCGCCGGCAGUAGUGCAAGCACUACCCCGCUGCCGUCGACUUGCAUGUGUAAAGCAUGCCGCCAGCGUUCAAUCUGAGCCAGGAUCAAAAUCU